GUCCCGUUUGAGGCCGCGGGUUCGCGUCCGCUCCCGGCGGGCGAGGGGGAGGAGCAGGGCUGUGGGCUUGGGCCCUUAUCCUCGAUGAAACCACCUGUCCUGAAGCUGUUUUGUUCACCCUUCCAGAAGCCACGGCUCGCUAGAAUUGAAAUGGCAAAAGUCCCGAGGUACUGGCUUGUGCAACUUCGGGGAAAAAUGAACAGGGUUUUAGAGGAUUUUAAGUCUUGAAGGAACCUUUGGAGUUAAUUUUAUCUCUCCGUCAGCCUUGCAACAGGAUUAAAUAUACCCAAGCUCUUUCUGGGAAUUGAAGGCUUAAUGAGUAACUAUGGGUGUACUUUAAAAAGUUCCUCUGCGUCUUGCCCUGUGGCCUCCCUUCAUAGAUACACUUCCCUAAUUUUUUCCAGUUGGUCGUUCAUCACUGAUAGUUAGGUAUAUUUAUGAAAAACAUAAAAACGUUGGUAAUGUGAAGUCCUGUUCUAGGCGAAAAUUCUCUGCAAAACACAUGGAUUACACCAAAAGUAUGUUCUGAGAGGAAGGUGACACCUAAUGCUGCAGGUAACCAAAACAGUAUUUUCACCUGGGAUGUGGUCUGGUUAAAGCCAUGAAGGUCUGGGCUGGUGGAAACAUCCAUCUGAAAGUCAGAAGAGGUGCCCUGCUUCAAGCAGCAUUGCUAUUGGUGACGUGACAACUGGUGUUGGAUUCCUCCCAUGGGUAGAAUCAAGGCUUCUUGAGAAAACAUACUGCAUAGGAGAUCAGUGGGGAGAAGGACCUGCCAGUGAAAAUCCUGUUUGGAAAUGCUGAACAAUGCUAUAUGCUUUGGGGACAUCUUCUAUGUCUUGUGAGAAAAGUUAAAGAAGCUCUCUAUAAAGAUAUGGUUUACUGAUCCUGGUAUGCAGAUGUGCGCUAUCUGACAAAAUUUGGUAGAGGCAGAAGGAAGUCCUGUGCUCUGCUCGUUUGCUAGUUGAAUGUAAACUAUGUAUUGCUAAAACCUUGUAGCAUAUAGUAUUUUUGAAGAGUGUUGUACAUACUAGGAACUUUGAAGAAACAGUACAAAUAUGAAUUUCUGAUCACUUUGAUAACUUGAUGUUAUAACUUGAUAACUACAAAUUGUAGUUAAGCAUCUGAUUUCCCCUUUAGAUUAAUUUCAAUUAUGUGUCUAUUUCUACUUGUUCCUUGAUGAACACACUCCACAUGUGUUGAAGUCAGCAAACAGAAAAUGUUUUCAGAUGUAUUUAUUUUAAGUUUCUUGCAUAUUAUCUUGCCAUUCUUGGAUCUUUGUCUUUUGUCAGAUCAAAUAGCUUUUGUGAGCAAAGCAGACAAAAAAAGAGCAGGAAGAUAAUUACUGUUUUUGAAAACAGAACCCAGUCAGUGUCCUGCAGUAAUCUCUCUCCAGCUUUAGGUAGAAUCCAAUGCAUAGCAACCUUCUAAUGAGAGGGGAUGCAUGUGUUCAGGAUUUAUUUCAGAUUAUUAAUAAAAUAAAAAAAAAGUGAAGCAACAACCUAACCUCUAAGCAGAGAUUCUCUGAAAGCAUGCAGUGUAGGCAUCUACAUGCUUUACCAUUUUGCUAAUCUAUCAAUACAGUUGACAGGUUUAUGCUUGUGUAUGUUACAUAAAGAAGGGGGAAGACAAAUUUUAGUUAAAAAAAGUUAAAUAAGUUAAAAUUAUAAUUGCCUUGUCUGUUUGGCAGCUUUUUCAGUAUGGCAUUUAUUGAAGGUGAUUAAUUUUGUAAAGAAAGUUUUGUGAAGAUAUUCUGAAUUUGAGUGGGAACUAAAAUGGCUUGAUUUACUGAAUGGACUUCAGUAAGAUUCUUCAAUGGUUUGAAAGGCAGCUCAUGAAAUUACUUGUAGAUAGUUAAUCUAUUUUAAGGUCAUAUUUCAUGUGAAAACUUUUUGCAAGGACAAGUCCUUUGAAAGCAUAAAUACGUAUGGGCAAUGUUAAUGUGUUUUUCUAGCAUCUUCACAGCUGAAAUACAAAGUUGUUGCUGACCAGCUAAUUUCUUGAGCAUAAUUUCAUUUGAUCUGUUGUGGUUUACUUUAUUUCCUUUAGUACUAAGAACUUCUUUUGUUUCUGUGCAGUCUCCUAAUAUUUACAGGUCUUGUUAAUCAGAAUUGUGAAACCAUCUAGGUUGGAAGGGAAUUCUUGAGAGCAUCUGAGAGCAUCUAUUGCAUCCCACCCUAGAAGAGAUUGCCUAGGACAGUACCUAGUGAAGUUUCGAGUAUUUCCAUUCCUGGAGACUGCAACCCUUCAGGAUAACCUGUGGAGGUGUAUCACAGUAAAAACGUUUCUUUUUCUAUUAAGAUUGUCUUCUGUGCUUUUGGGUGGAGUUGUCUCUUUCAUAGAUUGCCUCAGCAGGCAUUUUGGAUAGGAAAGUUGUGUAAAUGUCAUUAGAAAAGAUAUUUGUGAGAGGUUGUUUACUUUUUAUCCAGCAUCUGGAUAAAAUUCCCCAAGUCCCUAAGUCUCCUUCCUUCUUCUCUUCCUCCUCCUCUGGCUCAUAAACUGUAUUUCCUAAAAAACCUUCCCAGCUGAAAUCUAGUUUAAUAGUUUAGGACUGUAUCAGAAGGAAAAGAUUAGUCUUAAGUAUCUGUUGAGGUAUUAGCCUAUUGGAUAUUUUUUUCCCCAAAGAAAAAAGACAUUUAUCAAAUGAUUGAGGCUAAGGUUUUAAUGGUUUCUAAACCAAACAGUUUUAGCAAACAGAUGUAUGUAUCCAAAAGUGAUUUAGCAUCUGAAUAAAUUAUGGUAUGUUUCUCUUCUACACACCUUCUUGGACUAUUAUAUUCAAUGUCAUAUAAACCGCACUUUUGAAAUGAAAUCUUUUCUGGGAUCUGGCACCUGUUGAUAGGGAGUCUGUUGACUAAAUACAUAGAAGCCUUCUUUGGCUAAUGAAGCUCCUGAGUGUUAAUGCAUACUAGCUUUGCUCUAACUUCAGGUAUUUCAGGCAUCUACUUCUUGAUGUUGUUUCUUUCUGUGGCAGAAUUCUGGAGAACCUGACUCUUUUAGUUAUACAGGAUGGUGGCCUUUAUGUUUAAAAGAAGGUUCUUAUUCAUAUUUAUUCUCUUCUUUUACAGUAACAAUUCCCAAAGCGUCAAGGUGCCUACAAGGAUCAUAUAUGGGUUUUAUGCUGCUGUCUACCACCUCAAAAUAUCAAGAUCUUCAGUACCUAUGUUCUUAUUACUCUCAGGAGUUUUUGCUUUUCAUUGUUGUUUAAAAGAUCUGGCUUGUGUUUUACUUCCAUCUUGUUUUCCCUUGUGGUUGUGUAUUUUUGUGGGUGGAGAUGGAGGAUAUGCUGUUUUUGCAAAACCUAGUGGCUCCUGGUAUAGGAAAUUAAUCUGGUUUGUUUGUUUCUGUUUUUUUCCAUGUGCUUGUUUUGAUAUUUAUUGCGGGUUUUUUUCAGUAAGAGGGAUGAUAUAUCUCUGGAAGCUCAUUCUAUGGGUGGAGUUUCUGAGCCAAGAUUACCUUCUUUAGCUUUAUUUGCUUUCUCUUUAGUCUUGUGUGUUUCUUGAAACCCCUAUUAGGUCUAUAGAGAUCUGUAGCAUAUUCCUUGGUGUCUUGCAGAGAAGCUUCUUUUGGUGAAAGAUAGUUCAUUUGAUGUAAAAUAAUGUGCAUUGCUAAAUUGAUGAUUGAUGUCCCAACUCUCAGGUUCUAGGAUAGACACUUUCAUGCCCCCAUGUUCUGUAACUGAAAAGAUAGGAGUAGUUCUUCCAUGUAUUCUGUGAUAGUAAACUACAGCAAAUCCUUGCUUUGAGCAAGACAGUGAUUCUGGAUUGGAUUUUCCAUGUCAAACUGACAUUUUCAUCAAGCAGAGUGUCAUAUAUUGAUGGUAUUACAGAAAGUUGGAAGAAGCAAGCACAUUAUCUUCUGCUUUUACUUACGCUAUUGGUGAUAGUCAUGAGACAAAUUAGCUUAAUUUUGUAUUUGCCAGCCUAGGAUGUCUCUCUUUGUCGAAAAUGCCGUUUUGAAUUCAAACAAGUGUCUUAACAGCUUACCCAUUAUUACUUUCAAAAAACCAAGAUGCUGUAAGUCUUCCUUUUACUUAUUGCAGCUUUUUGAUUUCAAAGGUAAUAUGGCAUGUCUGUCUGCUAAAGUGAUACUGUGUUUUACUUACUGAGGACUAUAUUUUCUAACUUUGUGGUUCUACCAACUGUGCUCUUGAUCUCUUUUUUUUUUCUUUUUUUUUUUUUCUUUUUUUUCUUUCCCCUGUGUAAAAAUACAUGUUGUAGCUCAUGUGUCUUUUCAGUCAGUGAUAGUAACGCCUAAUCCUUUUCUAUGUUAGGAAUUAAGUAUGCCAUUGCAUGUUACUCUGCCCAAAAAGUAGUCUGCCAACUGGCAGCAGUCUCCAGACCAUACUGUUUAGCCAAAGAAACCAUACUGGUUUUCAGUUUACAAGUGCAGUUUAUCCACUAAAUAGUAGUUCACCAUUAGUCAAAAAGGUAGGAGCUGAUCAGUAUAACCUGUUAAAGGUUCUUCUGCAGUUGAUUUCACCAGUAGCAUUUCAACAUUUUUGUAGAAGGUGCUAAAUACAAAUGAGGAAUAAAGAGAUCUUCCAGUAGCUGCUGCUGCUUUUGCUUCUGUUUAUUACCAGGAAUUGGAAAGAAAUCUUGAAGGACAAUGUAUAUCUAUCUCUAGGCAUUUUUGGGUAAAAGAGGAUCCAGAAAGGUGGUUGCUACUUUGUGGGAAGUGGAGUGGCAGGGGUUUCUAUUGUUUCCUGCCUUGUUUCAUGCUGUGUUUCCUGCUUAUUAUGAAAAGCUGUGCAUAGAUCUAUUUUGGUCUUCAUGUUCUGUUUUACAGUGUGCUUGAUGAAAAAUAACAGCUCUUUGUGGGCAAUGGAA